rnacentral:lncRNA from 1 species
GUGCAUUUUGGAUCUAUUGGAUGUCUGAAUGUAAUGCUAAUCGACAUUUACUGAUGCAAAGGUAUGUUCUAUUUGUAAUAUGAAAUUAUUCUUAUUCAUACCUCCAACAGUCCUUCUCAUAUUUUCUAUUUGUAAUUUGAAAUGAUUCUUAUUUGUUGUCUGGCGUCUGGUUGUGUUCAAACAAAGUUGGUCAGAAUGAUAUAGUUGUUUUUUCAAGUUGGUUACAUCAAUUUUUCCAGUAUAGUGAUUAUUUAUUAGUUCACAUAGUACAUAGUACCACCGGCCGCUAACUACAUUUUUUUUACAGAUUUUGCAGGGAUGUAGAUAUAUAUUGUGAUGUUUCACUACGAUCUUCAAGUGUUUCAGUUUGUAUUUAGCAGGAUCACAUGUUGACCAAUGACUCUUUGUUUUCUCACUGAUCCAGUAUACUCAAGAACUUGAAUAUUGUGUUUGCUGUGAGUUAUUGACAGUUCCUUGAUUUUUGCAACUCAGGAGUGAAGAUGGCCUUCCUUUGGUAGGCGUAGUGAAUGAAUUUUCUUCUAAUUCAGGCCAUGGUUGAUACCGCUCGGCGUCUGGAUCUGCCAUGGAGUGGCUACCAUGGGCCAACCAGAGCUGGGUGCCCCUGUUUCCGACCUCGAGGCGAUUAGAUUAGAGUCUGAUUAAUUAUGUAUCAUUCGGUCCUUCCUUUGGCUAUUAAUCUAUUGUGGUCUACUUUUCAAGCUCAUACAACAGGUUUAUAUUGAAUUAAAUUUUGUAUAGAUAGCUGUAGCGAUUCUAGCGGAACAUCUUCAAGCUUAAGUUGCUGAACUGAUAUAGCUUGUUGUGUAAUGCAUCUUGAUACCAUACAUGUAAACUAGUUUAGGAAAUUGUGUUGUUCUGAGAUAAUUUCUUAUUUGAAAACAUUACCAACAUAGGCAUGUUACCUUCACACAGGGAAAAAGUUAUUUUGUGACCUAAAGAUAUGAUUUAUGGGCCUACCUCAAUAUCUCAGGAGUUGUCCUUUCCUUGUUAACCCUGUACACUUCACAAGGCCCAUCUGUUCAAGGUAGAGAUAAUGAAAGAACAU